rnacentral:rRNA from 1 species
CCUACGGGUGGCUGCAGUAGGGAAUUUUCGGCAAUGGGGGGAACCCUGACCGAGCAAUGCCGCGUGAAUGAUGACGAUCUUCGGAUUGUAAAGUUCUGUUAUUGGGGAAGAACGGCCGGACCAGGAAAUGGAUCCGGCGUGACGGUACCUAACGAGAAAGCCCCGGCUAACUAUGUGCCAGCAGCCGCGGUAAUACAUAGGGGGCGAGCGUUAUCCGGAAUUAUUGGGCGUAAAGCGUGCGUAGGCGGUUUGUUAAGUUCGAUGUAAAAACCCACAGCUUAACUGUGGAAGGUCAUAGAAAACUGGCAAGCUAGAGUACGGUAGAGGUAGGUGGAAUUCCAAGUGGAGCGGUGGAAUGCGUAGAUAUUUGGAGGAACACCAGUGGCGAAGGCGGCCUACUGGGCCGGAACUGACGCUGAGGCACGAAAGCGUGGGGAGCAAACAGGAUUAGAUACCCGUGUAGUC